GACGAAGAACGCAGCGAAAUGCGAUAAGUAAUGUGAAUUGCAGAAUUCAGUGAAUCAUCGAAUCUUUGAACGCACAUUGCGCCCCUUGGUAUUCCGGGGGGCAUGCCUGUUCGAGCGUCAUUAUAACCCCUCAAGCUCAGCUUGGUGUUGGGGCCUGCCGACUGGCAGCCCUUAAAAUCAGUGGCGGCGCCAUCUGGCUCUAAGCGUAGUAAUUUCUCUCGCUAUAGAGUCCCGGUGGAUGCUUGCCAGCAACCCCCAACUUUCUAUGGUUGACCUCGGAUCAGGUAGGGAUACCCGCUGAACUUAAGCAUAUCAAUAAGCGGAGGA
rnacentral:misc_RNA from 1 species